CUUCUUCCAUCCUGCGAUAUUCAUCACUAUAUUAGUCAUGUUCUUCGGAACUAUGGCGAUAAACGCGCACGUAAUAAGCGGUUUGGACCCGGGGGCGGUACCCGGCGGCUCCACCAAUAACUCUGCUCAUUAGGCAG
rnacentral:tmRNA from 2 species